rnacentral:rRNA from 1 species
UGCCAUAUCAAAUAGCGGAGGAAAAGAAACCAACAGGGAUUGCCUAGUAAACGGCGAGUGAAGCGGCAAAAGCUCAAAUUUGAAAGCUAGCACCUUCGGUGUUCGCGUUGUAAUUUGAAGAUAGUUUCCUUGAGUAGUCCUUUAUCUAUGUUCCUUGGAACAGGACGUCAUAGAGGGUGAGAACCCCGUAUGAUUUUGGAUACUACUCUUUGUGGGAUUCUAUCGAAGAGUCGAGUGGUUUGGGAAUAAUUCCUCC